rnacentral:RNase_P_RNA from 1 species
GGUAGAGAGAGCCCGGCCUCCGCGAGCCCUCGCGGGCGCGUGAGGAAAGUCCCCCCACCGUCCGGGCAGACGACCGGGCGCAAGCCCGGGGCGGGAGACCGUCGGCACUGGAACAGAAACGACACGUCUCGGCCCGACCGAUGCGGUGUGCGAACCCCGAGCGAAAAAAGCGACCGCGAACAAGCGACGGGGAGCUAACCCACCUAGGAGUGAGGGUCGAGGACCGAUGGAACGGCGAAUCCUCGCCGGUGCAAGUCGGCGUCCCGGCGUGUAAACGCCGCAAGGUAGCCUGGACGCGGGCGCCGACGCUUAGCCGAAUGCCGGGAAGAACAGAAGGGGGCUUACUCCUCUCUGCC